AGUGAACGCUGGCGGUAGGCCUAACACAUGCAAGUCGAACGGCAGCACAGUAAGAGCUUGCUCUUACGGGUGGCGAGUGGCGGACGUGUGAGGAAUACAUCGGAAUCUACUUUUUCGUGGGGGAUAACGUAGGGAAACUUACGCUAAUACCGCAUACGACCUACGGGUGAAAGCAGGGGAUCUUCGGACCUUGCGCGAUUGAAUGAGCCGAUGUCGGAUUAGCUAGUUGGCGGGGUAAAGGCCCACCAAGGCGACGAUCCGUAGCUGGUCUGAGAGGAUGAUCAGCCACACUGGAACUGAGACACGGUCCAGACUCCUACGGGAGGCAGCAGUGGGGAAUAUUGGACAAUGGGCGCAAGCCUGAUCCAGCCAUACCGCGUUGGUGAAGAAGGCCUUCGGGUUGGAAAGCCCUUUUGUUGGGAAAGAAAAGCAGCAGGUUAAUACCCCGCUGUUCUGACGGUACCCAAAGAAUAAGCACCGGCUAACUUCGUG
rnacentral:rRNA from 1 species